ensembl:snRNA U1 U1 spliceosomal RNA
AUGCUAAACUGGCAGGAGAGAUAUGAUCUUGAAGGUAGUUUUCCCAGAUCAAGCCUUAUCCAUUGCACUGUGGAUAUGUUGACUCCUGUGAGUCCCCAAAUGGAGGGAACUCAACUGCAUGUGUUUUACAAGUAGGGGACCAUGUUGGCACUUUCCCCUG